rnacentral:rRNA from 1 species
UACGAGGGGGGCAAGCGUUGUUCGGAAUCACUGGGCGUAAAGGGUGCGUAGGCGGGUCUUUAAGUCAGGGGUGAAAUCCUGGAGCUCAACUCCAGAACUGCCUUUGAUACUGAGGAUCUUGAGUUCGGGAGAGGUGAGUGGAACUGCGAGUGUAGAGGUGAAAUUCGUAGAUAUUAGGAAGAACACCAGUGGCGAAGGCGGCUCACUGGAUCGGUACUGACGCUGAGGUGCGAAAGCGUGGGGAGCAAACAGG